rnacentral:rRNA from 1 species
CUACGGGCGGCUCCAGUGGGGAAUAUUGGGCAAUGGGCGCAAGCCUGAUCCAGCCAUACCGCGUGGGUGAAGAAGGCCUUCGGGUUGUAAAGCCCUUUUGUUGGGAAAGAAAAGCAAUCGAUUAAUACUCGGUUGUUCUGACGGUACCCAAAGAAUAAGCACCGGCUAACUUCGUGCCAGCAGCCGCGGUAAUACGAAGGGUGCAAGCGUUACUCGGAAUUACUGGGCGUAAAGCGUGCGUAGGUGGUUGGUUAAGUCUGUUGUGAAAGCCCUGGGCUCAACCUGGGAAUUGCAGUGGAUACUGGGCAACUAGAGUGUGGUAGAGGGUAGUGGAAUUCCCGGUGUAGCAGUGAAAUGCGUAGAGAUCGGGAGGAACAUCCAUGGCGAAGGCAGCUACCUGGACCAACACUGACACUGAGGCACGAAAGCGUGGGGAGCAAACAGGAUUAGAUACCCCCGUAGUC